UCAAUCUCGUGCGGCUAUAUAUACCGCCGGUCCCUCUAAGAAGAUUUUCAUUGUACGCCGGUAGUGAAGACCGCGACACACGCGCGCGCCUCCGACGNNNGCCUCCGACGCGAACGCCGAAGGACGCGCACGCGCGCGCGGACCCUCGUGAUACCGGUUGUACGUCUAUUUAAUAGGCUAGAGUUACGUUCGUUAC
rnacentral:rRNA from 1 species